CCCACACGCCGGCCUGUGCACCGAAAUGGAAACAGCCCGGGAGCAGCGCGGCGCCUGGCUCCGAUGCCCCAUGCGGGACGCCAGCCCGCGGGAGAAGUGGCCUCACCUCUGCAAACCCCAGCCGUGGGGUGUGCCGGGGGAGCCGGUGCAGCGGAGCCUGGCGGGUAGCGGGAGGCCGGACACCUGUUCCUACCAACAAAGCCCCCUUUGUGGAGGCACUGCAAUGGACAGACAAGCAAUUGAUGGAUGAGCCCGGGGCCCAGCCACACGCUCCGUGAAACAGCCGCCUGCAAAGGGACACCAGGGCAGGGGACCUGGGGAAGGCAGCGCAGAGCCAGCCCCUUUCCCCCUGGCUGGGCCUGGCUGGGAGUGCGGGACGGGCUGCGCUCCCUACGGCACUGCAGCUCAGCGCCUCCCGAGGCUCACAGCCGGACCCUGCCUUCUGGGGGGCUGGGUCACUCGUGUACACACGUGCACAUGCACAUAUGUACACAUGCACACAGGUACACGUGCACACGCACACACAGGCAGGCAAGGUUCUUUGGGUAGAUGUGAUAUCUUUUAUUAGACCAGCUACAUAGUUGGAAAAAAUGCUCGUUGCAAGCUUUCGGGCACAAACGCCUUCUUCAGGCAUCGGGAGACCCAUGCAGACACACGGUGUUUCAGCAGCGCCAGGGUGCUCAGACGUGUCCCAAAUCUGGCGCUCUGCACCCAUGGGGCCGUCUCCUGCUGCAGUAAAGGAGUCUGCGCAGGCUGCCAUGUAGCAGCCAUGUCCCCCAGCAAGGAUGAAGUGCCUGUGCCCACCCCAUGCCUGGGCUCCCAUGGGGACUCCUUGCAGGGGCAGGGUGGACCGGGGGAAGCCCUGGCAGCUGCCCAUCAGCCUGGCCAGGUCUGGGCUCUGGGCUGGCCCUGGGAGGAGACUGCGUGGCUUGACUGGACCAAGAUUUAAUUGCAAUUAAGUCAGCUCCCAUCACCUUCUCACAGACAGCAGCCGCCAGCGCGUCGCAGGCGCAGAGUCCACGGCCGGUGACCGGCAGGCGCUGCUGGGGGAGGUUGGGAUGCCUGAGCUCGGGGGCUGGGGAGAAACGUGGCUGGACUAGUGGACGGCUGCAGAGGAGCCCCUGACCGGCCCCAUGAGCAUGGUCGGAAGGGCAAGCCGGGCUGUCUUGAGACUAGCCAGCUUGACCAAGUCACCCAAGCAAUUCCCCGUCUGCCCGAAGUCCGGCUCUGGCCGAGCAGCGUGGCGCUGCCGGGCAGGGUGGCACGGGGAGGCCUUCACAGCCAGCGCGCCAUCUCUGAUGGCUCCCAGAUGGCAAUCGCUGCUUUAUCCCCCUGCAACCUGUGUGACUCUGGGAGGGCAGCGAGAAGAAGGUGGGGCGAGGUGGGGGAGGCAGGGUCGGUCCCCGGGGAAUGGUGGCGAUUUCCAAGCCAGGCCCUUUGCAGCACUCAUUUGCUUUGGAAAUAAGCAGCAGUUGCUUUGCAUUCAGGGCUAACGGCAGCCGGCCCUGGGAGGGGCGCGGGGGGCAAAUCGAUCUCCCCAGACGGAGGAAGCUAUCACGGGGCGGCUGUCCCUGCUGCGCUGUGUCAGGCCGGGCGCAACUCUUGCUCCGCGCGGUCCUGCUCGAUGCUGCAGCGAGGCUUUUCCUGCGACCUUGCUCCUUGGUGCUCUGGUGCAAAUAAGUCAUCCUCAGGGAAGAGAAGAGGCAAGCAAGGAGAGGAGGAAGGAGGGGUCCGAGCAGACGCGCCCCGCGGCCUGUGUGUCACUAUCGGUUGCGUCACCGCCCCGCUGCCUCGGAGCAGGCUCGCUCUGCCCCGGGGACGCAAUAGCUGCCAGUUUCUGGGGACGUUUCUGAAGAUGACAUGCAAAAGGGCAGAUAAUGAAUAAAAGCUCAGCUUCUAGGAGGUGGCUUGGAUGCGAGCAUCUGAACCCUCCUGCAUUGCUAUCCUGCCCUGGUCUAACUGAGGUCACAAGCAGGACACCCAGUGUCUCCCCAAGCCCAGCCAGGUGCUGGACCCAGGGCUCAGCACCUUGCCUCCACCCAGGAGGGCUGGAAGACACUUUUUCUCCUGACUUGAGAUAGAAAAAUGCAUUUAUUGUGCGGUUCCAUGGGGCCAGGUCCCCACCUUGGGUGGGGGGAUUGCAUUGGCUUUCAGGCUCCCGUGCAGGGCUUAGCAUCGGAGCAAGCUCCCAGCGCAGCUGCAGCAGGACAGUCGCACCUCACUGGGGCUGUCUGCCACGACCCUCGCCGAUUCCCCCGGUAAGUGCCAUGGGUGUGGGAGCCCCGCCACCCCGCUCAGCUCGUGGAGCUACUGGCUGGUAAGCAAUUCAAUAUAAUUGUAUCGUCUACGCGAUUUUUAAGGAUUCCAGUAGAGUUUUGUCCUUUGAGGUUGAAAACAACAACCGGAGCUGCUUUGCCCACUUCAAAGUCUGCGCAGAGCCAAACUUUUGUGAGGACAUUAUGUAGCGCACCUUGAUCUCAUCUUUUAUCCCACUAGGUGCUACGUCUUGCUGUACACUUGCCAGCUGCGAGUUAAGUAUAAUUGCCAUUUCCUAACCCGCUUGGAAACAACAGCAGUGGGUUGAUAAGAACAACUUUCCUUUUAUUUAUGAAUCAAUUUGAGGGCUGGCUUCAAGGGAAGACAAUUAUUAGGGUAUUCAGGAACAUCUACACGUGCACUUUAAUGUGCAUUAGCCUAUUUUAACGCACAUUAAGGUGUCACUAACUAAAGAGCACGGUGUUUAAGUGUCACUUAAUGCACAUUAGCUUAUUUUAAUGCGCAUUGACUAAAUAGCAUGGUUUUUAAUGAGCAUCAAAGCAGGCGAAUGUGCAUUUUCCUAGUAUCUCACAAUGGAGGCACUAGAUUUAAUGCGUAUUAACUAAAGCGCGUUCAUGCAUGUGUAGACACGUCCUCGUGCCUCACUCCAGCUGCAGUUUGCAUUUUCAGUGGAAAAUGGUCUCCGUGUCCGUGGUCCGAAUGGGGCACACCGCUCGGGAACACCUACUCCUCAACGUUACGUCCUAUCCUGUCUGUGCAGAGCGGCCCCGCCAUGCUGCUGCCCCGGCCCAGGGCUCUCCUCCCCGCUCUGGCAGAGCCCUGGCUGCACUUGCCUCUCCCCUGGGGCUGAGUCCUGAUGCGAUGGGCCUGCCCCCGUGUCAGGAUCCUGCUGGGGAAGGGGCCUUGCCAUCGGACGGUGCUGCCCCGGGACUCCCUCCGCAAGCACGAGGUCUGCGCGUAUCCCAGACAGGAGCGGGGCAGCUUCACGGUAAAAAAGAAAAGUCUCUGUAUCCACUUGGAGUCUAUUUACUGCCGCUGUGUGAGACUGAUCAGGGGUGACACCCCCCACACAAGCCCAGGCCAUGCCUCGCGCGGCAGCAAGUCACCCAGAAACCCCCCGGGAAAGGGCAGGGGAGGAAAUCGCCCUUUGGAGCAACCGUGAACCCGGCUGUGAUUGAAAGUGUCUGCAGAGCUGGGGACGGAGAGGACUCCGCGUGAGCUGUGCUCGGGUGGGGAAGACUUGGUGAUGAGCUUGGCAGGUCUUUAUUUCCCCCAAAGGCUGCCUCUUUGUUGGGUUGUUUCGCGAACAGCUAAUUGAUGGCACACUAAAACAACGCGAGGCUUUCCCGCCUCGAUGGCAGCAUCCCUUCCCGUGGCAUUAAUCGUCAAUAAAAGUUAAAUGCCGGUGCCAGAGGAGACGGGGUGGCACGGUACCGCGGCUCCGACGUGCUGCACAAAUCCGCCACGCCGCUCGCUGGCUUCGAGCACACUGAGCUCAUUAAGCCCCACUACUGUGAUAACACUCACUUUAAUACACAUCCUCGCAGUGUGCAGUAGAUUGUAGACAAGGAGCCAAUUCAGGAGCAGGAGGUAUCUGCAAACACAUACUGCUGUCUUCAGGCCUUCUGCAUCCAAUACCCCUAGCAAAAGAGGAAACACUAUAAAUAUUCAGCCCCCUCUUAUUAUUUUUCAUCAGGGUGAGCUGCUUUUUUUUUUUUUUUUUGCUGUAAACUUGGCAAUUAGCUGUCUGUGAAAAUCAUUCCCUAUAUUUUAUAUCCCAUCAGUAGUCCUAGCAGACAGGUUUAUGUUGUAUUAAUAACUAGUGGUGGGUGAAAGGAAGUUUGUCUUUGUCAACAUAUCAGUCGAUGUCAACACUUGCACGGCAGAGUCCCCCACUGCUAGUAACGUGCACGGGAAGGGCAUUUCGCUCUGGCGAGACAGAGCUCCCAGCUCCUGGACUGAGUUUAAAAGCAGAGUCAUUUCUAGCAGGCAAAGAUAAAACCCAGCCUGGGCAGCCGGCCACAGCUUUCCUGUAUGGUCUGCUUGCUCGGUGACCAACGGGUACGCGCAGUGCGGCUGUCAGGACCGCUGCGGUGGCACCGGGCGAGGGGUUCGCCGGCCAGCGGGUUCGUCUAUUGCUCGGAGAGCUGGGGAGAGGCAAUUCCCAGUGCCGCGGGUCAGGUGAAGGAUGGUAACCACAGUCAUUAGUGGCGGUUCCUCACUACGGCGCUCCAGACGAGGAGCUGCUCUUCCCACUCUCCAGCUGCCCUUGGGUGACAGAAGAGGCCGGCGUUGCAGCGUCCCGCAAAGGAGCUGCUAAUUGUCUGCAGCAGACGGUCCCUCUCUGGAGUGGGCUGAGUCCCCCUCCCCUGCAGCUGGCUGACACCGCUCCUGGAUUUUGGGUGACUUUCUGCCCUCCCACAUGCGGCCUUAGCAUGGGCAGUGCCCUGCUGGGAGGGAAACCGUCCCGCUGCAGCCUGUAGCCAACCUUUGCUGGUUGGGCAGAUAGCAGCGUGGCCUGGUUUCCAUCCCCUGGCAGGAGGGGGUUGCUGUGUGCCCGGGACACGUCAGUACUGGUGCACAGGACUUCAAAAGCCACCCGCGGCACAGGGGGCUGGGCACUGCUGAAAGGGGGAAGCCCGCAACUCCAGCGCUGCCGGUGGAGUGUGCUUUGCCAGUUCUGCACUAUCGCAUCAAGAACGUAUUUAAAGAGCUCUUCUCAUCUAGAAUGAGCCUGAAAUAAUUGCAGGCACAGCACACGUCCGUAGACGUGCACGUACACCCGCAUCGGUGUGCCUCGGGCUUUGUGGGUGAGCCUCUAUUUCUCUUUUAUGCUAGGAUAUAUUAUAUGGUAUAUCUUAUAUGGUAUAUCUAUAUUAUCUAUAUUACGUAGUCUAUCUAUAUUAUACGGUAUAUAUUGUAUGGUUUAUCUAUCUAUCUAUGUAUAUACACAAAGGGGUGUCUCUCCACCUCUGGUUGUGUGGUCAAGUGUUGGAC